rnacentral:rRNA from 1 species
UACGUAGGUGGCAAGCGUUGUCCGGAUUUACUGGGCGUAAAGGGCGUGCAGGCGGUCUGUUUAGUCUAGGGUGAAAGCUCCCGGCUCAACUGGGAGAGGUCCUUGGAUACUGGCAGACUUGAGGGAGGCAGAGGAAAGUGGAAUUCCCGGUGUAGUGGUGAUAUGCGUAGAUAUCGGGAGGAACACCAGUGGCGAAGGCGGCUUUCUGGGCCUUACCUGACGCUGAGACGCGAAAGCAUGGGGAGCGAACAGG